UGGGGAAUCUUGCGCAAUGGAGGAAACUCUGACGCAGCAACGCCGCGUGUGUGAUGAAGGCCCGUGGGUCGUAAAGCACUGUCAGGAGGGAAGAAUUUUGACGGUACCUCCAAAGGAAGCACCGGCUAACUCCGUGCCAGCAGCCGCGGUAAUACGGAGGGUGCAAGCGUUGUUCGGAAUCAUUGGGCGUAAAGCGCGCGCAGGUGGCUUAUCAAGUCUGGUGUGAAAGCCCGGGGCUCAACCCCGGAACUGCAUUGGAAACUGAUAAGCUUGAGUCCGAGAGGGGCCUGUGGAAUUCCUGGUGUAGGGGUGAAAUCCGUAGAGAUCAGGAGGAACACCGGUGGCGAAGGCGACAGGCUGGAUCGGCACUGACACUGAGGCGCGAAAGUGUGGGGAGCAAACA
rnacentral:rRNA from 1 species